rnacentral:lncRNA from 1 species
CGCUUCUCAAGUAUAAUCCAGUUCACAAGAAAAUCCCUGUGCUUGUACACAAUGGAAAGCCGGUUGCAGAGUCACUUGUCAUCCUGGAGUACAUUGAUGAGACCUGGAAACAUAAUCCCAUCUUGCCUACAGACCCUUAUGAGAAGGCCAUGGCACGGUUCUGGGCUAAGUACAUGGAUGACAAGGUAAACCCGAUACUAUAUUCCCUUUUUAAAAAAAAAAAAUUCAUUUGGAUCCUGACUACUAUUCAUUAUGCAGCUCUGGCCGGCAGCAACAAAGGUCGUGGUGAGUAAGGGAGAGGAGCAAAAGGCAGUGAUUGAAGAAAUCCAGGAGCAGCUGAAAACUCUAGAGAGUGAACUGAAAGAGAAGAAAUUCUUUGGAGGGGAGAGUUUGGGAUUUGUAGACAUAGCUGCAAACAUUAUAGUUUUUCUUCUUGUUGCCCAAGAAGCUCUGGGAUUAAUGGAGAUCCUGACCGAAGAGAAGUUUCCUGUUUUGCAUGAAUGGUAUCAAAGGCUUGUCGAUGAUGCUGUUUUCAAGGAAUGUGUGCCACCAAGGGAGCGACAUCUUGGCUUCUUCAAAGCUCGGUUUGGAUCCUCGACGGCUUCCAAAUGAAGAGUUGGUUUAUGUCUGUGCAUGAGUUGAUAGGGGAGGAACCUUGCUAGUUGCUUCUCAUAUAUGUGUUUCAGUUAUGUACUUUGAAGUUGUGUCAUGGACUUUACCCUGUUUCUGGGGAUGACAACUUAAAAAAUAAAUUGGAGUAGUAUUCUAUGUUCAUCUAAAUAAAAUUAAUCAUAUUGUUUCAUUAAGAGUGACAGAGAUUUAAAAUAUGUAUAUAUAUAUAUAUAUAUAUAUAUAUAUAUAUAUAUAUUAAAAAGACGUUGUAAUUUAUUUAUAAAAUAAUUAAAAAAAUAUUUUUAGAAUAUUAUUUUAAUUAGAAAUGAAAAACAGAAUGUUUUUGUUUACUUGUGGGCGUUUGAGCAAGGAAAAAGAUUUGACUUAUAGGUGAUGAUUCUAGAUUAGUUGAAAUACGGCUUUUCACUAUUUGAGGAAAAGAAAAUUGGCUUUUGGCUUGAAGGGUAAUUUUGAAAUUACAGGGAUACUAUUAUUAAAAAUUUAUUAUUUUAUUUAAAAAAAUGUAUGCUCCCUAUGAUACUUUUAAGAAAUACAAUUAAAUUUUAAAAUUAUCGUUUUGAUGUUUUUGAUGUGAUAAUAAGUUUUGUAAAUUUAGAAAUAAUUUCACAAAUUUUAAAUUUAAAUAAAUUGUAAUAAAGUGUUAAUAAAAUAUGAAUAAAUAAAUAAAACAAUUUUAUUUUACUCUUUGGUGUAUAAUAUUUUUGUACCCACAACUUUAGUGAAUUUGCAAAACAAUAAGAAAAUAUGUGAAACAAAAUAUUUUUUAUUAAAAUAUAAUAAUUGUGAGAAUACCAUAUUGGUAAUAAUUCUUUUAUAAAAUAAUAUUUUCUUAUCCUUCUUUCACUUUGAACACACUCCAAAAGGAAGGAAAAUAUUUUUUUAGUUUUGAAAGCUAAUUGAGGGCUUAAUUCGGGAAAGGUGAAAAACAUUUUUUUUUUUUUUCUUAUUUCUUGAAAUUUUUCUUCUUUAUGAAAUUUUUGUUUCAAAUCUAUGAAAAACAUAUCUAUUACUCUUUUACUAUUUCUUGAAAAUUUUCUUAUUUAUGAAUUUCUAUGUGGAGUCGAUCUUCCUUUCAUUAAAGGAAGUCGCCCUAUUAUCCAUAGAAUUAAGAAAUAAAAAAUUUGAAAUUCUUCAAGAUUUAGUUGUUUAAUUUAAAGAAUUUGUUUCAUUAAUUUUAACAACUUAUCUUCUUUAUUAAGGAAAUUUGCUAACAAAAAAAUAUUUAUUUUUAAUUCUCUUUUAAAUUUUGCAAUCUUUCAAAAUUUGUCACAUAUAUUAUUUAUCGAGUUCAAAUUUUGUUGAAUUGGGAAAUCACAAUUUUGAAAACCAAUUUAAUGAUAAUUUAAUUAAUUAAAAGUGUUGAUGUCUAUAAUUUCUUCUUAAUAAUUAAAUAUUUUAAUUUUAUUAUUUAUUAAAAUAAAAAAUCUUAAUAUAUUUAUAUUUUAUUUUUAUUAUGAUUUUAAAUAUAUAUUUUUUAAAUUUUAAUAAUGCUCAAAUAACCAUAUUUACCCAAAAUAUCGAUAAUUACGAAUAUAUCAAUACUUUAAUUAUAUUUAGAAAUAUCAGAGUUGAUAUUUUUUUACAAAUAUCAAUGGAGCGAAAAUUAUUUAAAAUUCACUAACAUCCUUGAAAAAACUAAAAAAAAAAUGAUAAAAUAAGCAAAAAUACACAUUUUUAAGUUUUUUUAAAGUAUAAUUGAUAUACAUAUUAUAAAAAAGAAAAACAUCGAUAGAUAGAAAUAUAUCAGUAGAUUUGAUAUUUGAAUUUUAAGAAUAAUAAAUAUGAAUUUUGGAAGUAUAUAAAGUUAGAAUUGAGUUAAAAAAUAUUUGAUUUUAUUGAAUAAAAAUAAUUUAUACAUAAAUAUAAUACAUAUGAUAUUGUAAUAGUCUUUAGUAUCAAAAUGAAUGGGGAUCUUGUUGAAAAUAAUAUUUAUUUAAAAAAAAUUUAAAUACUUUUAUUAAAACAUGUUUAAUUACAUUUUAAAUAAAAAAUUAAAUUAUUUUAUAUAAAAUAUUUUAUUUAAGAUUUAAUUUCUAAAAUUUUAUUAAAAAUAUGUGAUAACAACUUUUUCUAUUAAUAUUAAUUUAUUUAAAUAAUUAAAAUUAUUAAUAAUUUAUCUUAUCAAAUUAAUUUUAAUUUAUAAAAUAUUAAAACUUUCUUAACUUUCUUAAAUUUUUAUAUUAUAGCAAUUUUUUUGGGUAAAUUUAUAUUUUUAAUAUUUUAAAAUAAAAACAUUUAAAAUUAAAUAAAAUUGAAAGGAUGAAUAAAAAAAAUUUAAGAGUGAAGUGAUAAUAAUUUUUUAAAAUAAGAUUAAUGAGAUAAAUAUGAAAAAUGUUAAAAAUAAAAUUAUAAUACAAAAUAAAAUGAUAAUAUAAAAACAUAUAUGAAAUUUGGGCGAUUGAAUCGUCAAAAAUUCAAAUAUGAGAAUUUUCAAAAUUUUCAAAAAAGUGGUAGAAGGGGCAAUUUUUUUACGUUCUCCAUCUGCUCCGCGUGUCGCUUCGAGAAAUACCAAAAUAUUGGCGAUAGUUUCGAAAAAUUUCCGUGACGAAUAUUGUGUCGGAGCCGGCCGAUAAACGAUAUUUUCCCGAAAUUUUCCGACAUUUCAAUCCUUGCAAUUUAGCCCACUUAAAUAAUGCAAAGAGAUAAGAUUCCAAGGGAAAUAUCAAAUAUCACAUCACCGACAGCGAUAAGUGCCGUCUUCAAAGUCUUCAUUGUCUGGAUGCGUAGGCCAUGCCUCAAUGGACACGCAUUGGCUGAUGUCUACCACUUUGUCAGGCCCUCACCAGAUACAUUAUUGGUUCCCAAUCAUCCAUCCGAUCACACUCCAAACUAAAAUCUCGACAAAUCCAAGGGCCAGCACCGCGCCUGGUUUAUCAAGAAAACCUCUAUAGAUAAGAAGAGGGCAUACCAGUGGCAGCCUGAUCUCUUCAAGCUGCAACAAUGGCUGAAGAAGUGAAGCUGUUUGGCAUGUGGGCAAGCCCUUUUAGCCGCAGAAUUGAAGUGGCCCUCAAGCUGAAAGGGAUUCAGUAUGAGUAUAUAGAAGAGGACUUGUCCAACAAGAGUCCUUCGCUUCUCAAGUAUAACCCAGUCCAUAAGAAAAUCCCUGUGCUUUUGCAUAAGGGAAAGCCAGUUGCAGAGUCACUUGUAAUCCUGGAGUACAUUGAUGAGACCUGGAAACACAACCCCAUCUUGCCUGCAGACCCUUAUGAGAGGGCCAUGGCACGGUUCUGGGCUAAGUUCUUAGAUGAGAAGGUAAACCCAUUACUAUUUUUUUUUCCUUUUUUAUUUUAAAUUCACUUGGGUCCUGACUACUGUACAAUAUUAUGCAGCUCUGGCCGGCAGCAAAAAAGGUUGCGUUGAGUAAGGGAGAGGAGCAUAAUGGACUGAUUGAAGAAAUCCAGGAGCAUCUGAAAACUCUAGAGAGUGAGCUGAAAGAGAAGAAAUUCUUUGGAGGGGAGAGUUUGGGAUUUGUAGACAUAGCUGCAGACAUUAUAUUUUGGCUGCUUGUUGUCCAAGAAACUCUGGGACUCGAUAUCCUAACCGAAGAUAAGUUUCCCGGAUUGCAUGAAUGGUAUCAUAGGCUUCUUGAUGAUGCUGUUUUCAAGGAAUGUGUGUCAAUGGAGCGACUUCUUGCCUCUUUCAAAGUUCGGUUUGGAGCCUUGACUGCUUCCAAAUGAAGAGCGGGUUUAUUUGUGGAUGACUUCAUGGGAGAGGAAUCUUUCUUCUUGCACAUGUAUUUCAUAGUUAUGCAUUAUGAAGUAUUGUAAUGAACCUUGUCCUGUUUGUGGGAAUGAGAACUUAAAAAUAAGUUUGGAGAAGUAUUGCUCCAAAUGGCCUUAGGAAGAAGACUCAAACAUUGCCUCCUAAUUAAUAGGAAUUGAAUAUCCUAUGUUCAUCUACCUCUUGGUUAGAUUGAAUAAAGAUUUGGAUAUAGAAAUCCUUAUGACUGAGUCAUGGUUUGGUUCGGGGUUUAGUUCAGAGAUGAGAAUGUAAGUGGUAUGGGUAACAUUCAGCCUCAACUCCAUUCCUUUUAAGGUUUUCGAUUGGGUUUUCAUCCUCCCAUCAACGAAUGUAAAUCAAAUCUAAAAGUCAUUAUUUGAGGAAUUAUUUGGGUAAAUAAUCCCGACAGUCCAAUCAUCUCUCCCCAGCAUGAUGCUCCCCCAACAUUAUUGAAAUAUGUUUAACAUUUAUUAAAUGUUUAGUGAUGAAUUGGAGUGUGACAAUGAUGCUCUUUCCAAUAAAUAUUUCUCAAAAUUACCAUUUUUUUUUCAAAAAUCCUCCACCAACCCAUUAUAAAUGUAAGUAAUCAUACUAAAAUAAUAAUGCUAAUACAAUUGAAAUAAAAAAUAAAAUAUGAAUAAAUAAGUAACACAAUUUUAUUUUACUCUUUAGUCUAUAAUCUUUCUUCUUAAUAAUUAAAUAUUAUAAAUUUAUUAUUUAUUAAAAUAAAAAAUCUAAUAUAUUUAUAUUUUAUUUUUAUUGUGAUUUUAUAAUUCUUUUAAUUUUAGUAAUAUAUAAAUUAUAUAUUUAUAUUGUACAGUCAGUCACCUCGAUCCCACAUUUCAAGCAUAAACCAAUUAUUUAAAACAUAAUAUUGUUGGAUCAAAACAUCAAUUUUGAUCCAAAAUUCCUUUCUCCGAGAUUAACUGCCCAUGUGAAUGAUCUAAAGCGGUCAGGGAUAUAUCACGUGACCCAAAAAACGACAAAGGAAGGGACAGUGUCGACGGACAGUGCGGUGGCUCCUCUGCCAAAAAGUUGGUCACAGACUUUAAAAGGUAAGUUUUGGGGUAAAAUAACCCUUUUACAACAAAAAAAAACAAAAGAAUUUGGGAAACUGUGUUUUGACGGGCCAUUUGAAAAAUAUCUUAUUUUUGGAAUCCAAUUUUAUAAAAUAUGAUAACCAGAUUUUAAUAUGAAAAGUAAUAUUGCUUUUAUGCACUUUGACCUGGCUCCAUUUUUUUUGUCAAGAUUGCCCUCUGACGGCAAUGACCUCGACGGCAAUGGCUUUUGGCUUAGGUUUUUCGGUGUCGGAGGGGGCUUCCUUUUCGACUUUUUUCUUCAUGCUAGAGUGAGGAGUGAGGAGUGAGGAAGACGAAAGUGUCCUUGCCGUCGUUGUUGCUCCGGUGGAGGAAGUCGCAAAACUUCCACCGUUUUGAUGAUCAUGUGGAGUUGCUUUUCCUGCACCUUCCCGAUGGAGACUUCGCUACCUUGGGUUUCCACACACAGUACAUCCUCGACAGCACUCCCUCGAGCUCGUCGACCUCUGAUGACAAGGACACUCCAGGUCCAUUGCAGAUAAAAAAAAUAGGUUAUAGUGGUGACGAUGACAAUGGACUGAGUUGCGGCGACAAUAACCUUGACACAUCCAGAUUUUUCUCAAAUAUGAAAUAGAAUUUCAAUUGAAAAAUAUGCUUUUGAUAGAGGAGAGAGGAACGGCUUCGGAGGCCGACGAGCUCGAGGGAGUGCUAUCGGGGAUGUACUGUGUGUGGAAACCCAAGGCGGCGAAGUCUCCACCAAGAAGGUGCAGGAAAAACAACUCCACGGGAUCAUCGAAACGGUGGAAGUUCCGCAACUUUCUCCAUCGGAGCAACAGCGACGACAAGGACACUUUCGUCUUCCUCACUCCUCACUCCAGCAUGAAGAAAAAAGCCGAAAAGGAAGUCCCCUUGGGCGCUGAAAAACCUAAGUCAAAAGCCAUUACCGCCAAGGUCAUUGCCGCCGAAGGGCAUUCUUAGCACAAAAAAUGGAGCCAGCUCAAAGUGCAUAAAAGCAAUAUUACUUUCCAUAUUAAAAUUUGGUUCUCAUAUUUUAUAAAAUUGGGUUAUGAAAAUCAGAUAUUUUCCAAAUAGCCCCAUCAAAACACAAGUUUCCCAAAAAAAAUUAUAUAUAAGGUUAAGCCUUUUUACAAAAUUCAUGAUUUUAUUUUAAUUUUUUAAAAUUUAAGUUGAAACCUUGAUUAGAUUUCAGUUUUGGAUUGAAGCCGCAAUUAACAAUUAAGACUUCGUUUUUUAACUGAAGUUGUAAUUAGCAAUUGAUGCUUCAAUUUUUUUUCUUACUUUAAAAUUUAAUUUAAAAAUAUUAAAUUAAAAAUUAUUAUUAAAAUUAAAAAUAUAUAAUUUAAUAAUAAGAAAUUUAUAUACUUAAACUUAAAGAUUUAGUAUUACUUUAAUAAAGAUAAAUUGAUAAAUAUAAUAAUAAAUAAAUAUUUUAUUUAUCAAUAAAUUAAUAAUUUUAAAAUAAUAAAGUUAUAUGAGACAUAAAUAAUGUAUAAAUUUAUAUAAUUUAUUAAUUUAAUAUAUUAAAUUUAUUAUAUUUUUAAAAUAUAAAAUGAUAUAAUCUAUUAAUUUAAAUUACAUCACGUGUAGUACCUACUAAAAUCAUAGAGGGACAUUUUUUUCCAUUAUAUAUGAAAUAUUAAGAUUAUAUUAUUAUUUUAAUAAAGAUUAAUUUGUCAAAAUACAAAUAAAUUAAUAUCUUAAAAAUACAACAAAUUAAAUAUCUUAAAUUAAUAAAUUAUAUAAUUUAUAUCUUAUUUAUAUAUUAUAUAAUUUUAUUAUUUUAAGAUUAUUAAUUUAUUGAUAAAUAAAAUAUUUAUUUAUUAUUAUAUUUAACAAUUUAUAUAUUAGAUUGUUAUAUUUAAAUAUAUAACUUUUUUUUAUUAUUAAGUAUAUACUUUUAAUUUCAAUAAUAAUUUAUAAUUUAAUAUUUUUAAUUAAAAUUUAAAGUAAAAAAAAUUAACUGAAACCUUUAUUGAAAAUUGAGAUCUUAGUUAAAAAAUGAAAUCACAAUUAUCAAUUGUAACUUUAAUUUAAAAAUGAAAUCUCAAUUAACAAUUGAAAUUUCAACUUCAAAAUGAAGCCUCAAUUGAUAAUUGAAGUUUCAGUUUCAAAAUGAUGUCUCAGUUACUAAUUACUUUUUAAAAAUAAAGUAUCAUUUAACAAUUGAAACUUUAAUUUAAAUUUUGAUUAAAUAAAAUAAAAUAAAAUUAUGAUAUAUCUCUUAGUGAUGAUAAAAAGAUUAAUUUGAUCAUAAAGUUUUGCGGACGGGAUACACUAACAUUUCCUUUUAUAAAAGGGUUAUUUUGCACCCCCAAACUCUCAAAAGGCAUUGGCUGACGUCACCAAGUACAUUAUUGGGAUCCCAACCAGCCAUCCUAUCACACUCCACAUUAAAAUCUCCACAAAUCCAAGGUCCAGGACGGCACCUGGUUAAUCAAGAUUCAAGAUCAAGAAAACCACUAUAAAUAAGAAGAGAGCAUACCAAUGGCAGCCACAUCUCUUCAAUCAGCAACAAUGGCUGAAGAAGUGAAGCUUUUUGGCACGUGGGCAAGCCCCUUUAGCCGCAGAAUUGAAGUGGCCCUGAAGCUGAAAGGAGUUCAAUUUGAACAUAGCAGAGAACUUGUCCAGUAAGAGUCCUGCGCUUCUCACGUAUAAUCCAGUUCACAAGAAAAUCCCUGUGCUUGUACACAAUGGAAAGCCGGUUGCAGAGUCACUUGUCAUCCUGGAGUACAUUGAUGAGACCUGGAAACAUAAUCCCAUCUUGCCUACAGACCCUUAUGAGAAGGCCAUGGCACGGUUCUGGGCUAAGUACAUAGAUGACAAGGUAAACCCAAUAGUAUCUUCCUUUUUUAAAAAUUUUCAUUUGGGUCCCGACCACUAUUCGUUAGGCGGUUCUGGCCGGCAGCCAAAAAAGGUUGUGGUGAGUAAGGGAGAGGAGCAAAAGGGAGUGAUUGAAGAAAUCCAGGAGCAGCUGAAAACUCUAGAGAGUGAGCUGAAAGAGACGAAAUUCUUUGGAGGGGAGAGUUUGGGAUUUGUAGACAUAGCUGCAAACAUUUUAGUUUGGCUUCUUGUUGCCCAAGAAGCUCUGGGAUUUGUUGGAACUUUUACUAAUAAAACUAAAUUACCUACUUUUAUCUAGGAAUAUAUUAUUACCUUCAUUAUGAUUUUAACCCAGAUCUAACCUACUAUGUACCAUGAAUAUUCCCUCUCACAGCAAACACCUAGGAAACAACCAAAUAUCUUCUACUUUCAAGCCUACAGUUAUAUUAUACAUGUUAGGGUCAAACAAUGUACUAAAAUGGAUCUCCAAUGACAGUCUAGGAUUUAUAUAGUUUUUUACUAGUGUAAAAAAUUUUAAAUCCUUGAUGAAUGAUGCUUUUACUUCAUGUUUAGUAGACUCUUACUGUGGAUGAGAAUUAAUUAACUAAUCAUAUAUUAAGGUAUCGAAGUGGUAUUUAUCACACUCCCAAAUCCAUACCAUUGAAUAAAAGUCUAAAUACAUAAAACUUAGAUAUAUUUUAAUUUAUAAAGGAAAAAUGGUAAGAUAAUAAAAGUGGUACCUGUCGAACUACAUUCUAGAAUGUCAAAUUUAUAUCCAUGACCAUGAAUAAGGAUAUAAAUAAAUGGAAAUAAGGUACAGAAUACAAAUAAACGAAUCGAUGGUCUAUAUGUAUUUGGAUAGGUACUAUUUUGAUGGCUUAGCAAGAGUAGCUCGGAAAGUUCAAAAACGAAAAAAUGGUGGAUGGUAGACCCACAGCAAUACACCAACCGAUGAAUAUUUUUGAAAGACAUCGGGUCAAACUCGAGUUAUGAUGCAGAAUGGUCUGUGCAAUAUCGCUUCACCAGUAAACGGGUUUGUCCUCAAAUGAAAAAGGGAAGCCGAAAGCCAGUGAACAAAUUACACGAAAAAGUUUGUCCAAGACUCCCAAGGCUUCAAACGUUCCUUCGUCUGCAUAAUUCUUAGUGCACACGUAUUGGCUGACGUCUGGAAGCCUCUUGAUGGCGUCACCAUAUACAUCAAUGCUUCCCAAUCAGCCAUUCGACGACACUGACACGCUCCAAAGUCCAAACUAAGAUCUCGACAAAAGAAAAACCCCUAUAAAUCAGAAGAAAAUACGGCAAGGGAACCAUACCUCUCCAAACUGCAACAAUGGCUGAAGAAGUGAAGCUGUUUGGUGCAUGGGGAAGCCCCUAUAGCCGCAGAAUUGAAUUGGCCCUGAAGCUGAAAGGACUUCAAUUUGAAUACAUAGAAGAGAACUUGUACAAUAAGAGUCCUGCGCUUCUCAAGUAUAAUCCAGUUCACAAGAAAGUCCCUGUGCUCGUACACAAUGGAAAGCCGGUUGCAGAGUCACUUGUCAUCCUGGAGUACAUUGAUGAGACCUGGAAACACAACCCCUUCUUGCCUACAGACCCUUACGAAAAGGCCAAGGCACGGUUCUGGGCUAGGUUCAUAGAUGAGAAGGUAAAUCUAAUACUAUUUUGUUUUUCUUUUUUUAAAAAUCAUCUGGGUCUUGUCUCUUUAAGCAUUGGUAAACUUUAUAUGCAUUAUACAGUUCUGGCCGGCAGCAAAAAAGGCUAUGGCGAGUAGGGGAAGGGAGCGAGAGGAAGCGAUUGAAGAAGCUCAGCAGCAUCUGAAAACCCUUGAGAGUGAGCUGAAAGAGAAGAAAAUCUUUGGAAGGGAGAGUUUGGGAUUUGUAGACAUAGCUGCGCAUCUUUUGUUUUGGCUUGUUGUUGCCCAAGAAGCCUUUGGAGUGGAGAUCCUAACUGAGGAGAAGUUUCCCGCCGUGCAUGAAUUGUAUCAAAGGCUCGCAGAUGAGGCUGUUUUCAAGGAAUGUAUGCCACCAAAGGAGCAACUCAUUGCCUAUCUUAAAGUUCGGUUGGGAGCCUGGACUGCUUCCAAAUGAAGAGUUGGUUUAUGUACGUGUCUGAGUUGAUGGGAGAGGAACCUCUUUCUUCUCAUCUACGUAUGUCAAAGUCCUGUAUUUUGAAGUUGUAUCAUGAGCUUUGUCCCGUUUGUGGGUAUGAGAACUUAAAAAUAAAUUGGAGAAGUACUGCACUAAAUGGUACUACGAGGAAGAACACUCCAGCAUUGCUCCUUAAUAAUAGCAUUUCAAUUCUAUGUACAUCGACCUCUAGAUUAGAUUAAUAAAGAUUUGGAUAUAGAGAUGCUUAUGAAAGAGCAGCAUGGCUUGGUUCUGGUUCAGUUCAUGGAUAUGAGAGAAUGUAAGUGACGUUGAGCCUCAACUCUAAUGCUUUAAGGUUGUGUUUUGAAUUUAUGGCAUGGGAUGCUGAUGCUACUUCUAUAUUCUGCUUUGAAUCAUGGGUGUAUAUGGGCAUCACAAAACUAGAAGCUCCGUUUUGCUACAAAAUUUUCAAAACAUUCAAUGUUUCUAUGCCUAUUUUUUAAAAUAAUUGAUUAUAAACAUAUAAAAUAGUAAUUAACAAAAAUGCUCCUUUUACCAAUUUUUGUUUUUAUUCUAUCAUUCUUCCUAUGCUAUUAGGAGCAAAUUCUCUUUUAUUUAACCAUUUUAGGAUUUUUCAUUAUUUUUUAAACUCUUUUAUAAAUAAUUGAAAAAUCAAUAUUAUUUUCGGUUGGUUGCAGAGUCACUUGUCAUCCUGGAGUACAUUGAUGAGACCUGGAAACACAACCCCAUCUUGCCUACAGACCCUUACGAAAAGGCCUUGGCACGGUUCUGGGCUAGGUUCAUA